rnacentral:rRNA from 1 species
UACGUAGGCAGCAAGCGUUGUUCGGAGUUACUGGGCGUAAAGGGUGUGUAGGCGGUUCUUUAAGUUUGGGGUGAAAUCUCCCGGCUCAACUGGGAGGGUGCGCCGAAUACUGAGGGACUAGAGUACGGGAGAGGAAAGUGGAAUUCCUGGUGUAGCGGUGAAAUGCGCAGAUAUCGGGAGGAACACCAGUAGCGAAGGCGGCACUCUGGGCCGGAACUGACGCUGAGGAGCGAAAGCGUGGGGAGCGAACAGG